rnacentral:lncRNA from 1 species
GGCUAGGGUGAAGUUACUGAGCGCACAGAGCAACGCUUCUACAGGACAGGGAGCUGCUGAAGCAGAGGGUCGAAAUGCUACGGGACUCGCAGUUGCUAUCACUACAGAGGAAGAGACCAUCACGCCAUCGAUGUGAGAUGAUAGGGAAACCAGAGCUAAAUCACAAUCACGGGCUCCUGGAGGGAAUCUCGAUCCGGAGGCUCACGGUGCGGUCUCAUUCUAGAAACAAAGUACAACUAGAGCCUAUUUCAGAAAGGUCGUCUCUUGAGUCCUGUACUCCUCAAGAUCCAGCUGUGGACCUUCUCAUUCCCCGCGAUCCAGAUCUCUGUCUAAGCAAUAAUCCAGAGUUUCCGCCAAAGUUCCCUUCGGGACCCUUAAUUAAAUCUUGCCUUUUCGACCCAAUCACCGUGGAAACGUCACCCCUACAGGACCCCUUCCCCACAAUCCCUCCACCCCACAUCGCUAUGCACAAUGGACGACAGAGCACUCUAGGACUGUAAGGUUUGGGCGCUGCCGACCCCUGCCCGGGCUUUUGUCCCUUCAGCCUGCAAGGGAAGCAAAAGAAAAUCUGCGCUCAGGGCGCCUACUCACCAGCUCAUCUUUCUCUGGAACUGCAAGUCUCUCCGCUGCCCUUGGGCCUGCCUCUUGCCCCCGCCCUCCCUCUCUGGGUCCUAGUCCGGUCCCCGCCACCGCCGCCGCCGCAGCGAAGCAGCCAGACGGUGCGGCCG